rnacentral:rRNA from 1 species
GACAGAGGGUGCAAACGUUGUUCGGAAUUACUGGGCGUAAAGCGAGUGUAGGCGGUUCUCAAAGUCGGAUGUGAAAGCCCCGGGCUCAACCCGGGAAGUGCACCCGAUACUGGAGAGCUAGAGUGUCGGAGAGGUUGGUGGAAUUCUCGGUGUAGAGGUGAAAUUCGUAGAUAUCGAGAGGAACACCGGUGGCGAAGGCGG